rnacentral:rRNA from 1 species
GUGCAGCAGUCGCGAAAACUCCGCAAUACGCGAAAGCGUGACGGGGCCAUCCCGAGUGCCGUCCGCUGAGGAUGGCUUUUCCCCAGUGUAGAAAGCUGGGGGAAUAAGGAGAGGGCAAGUCUGGUGUCAGCCGCCGCGGUAAUACCAGCUCUUCGAGUGGUAGGGAUGUUUAUUGGGCCUGAAGCAUCCGUAGCCGGCUGGGCAAGUCCUCUGUUAAAUCCAGCGAUUUAAUCGUUGGAUUGCGGGGGAUACUGUUCGGCUAGGAGGCGAGAGAGGCCAUCGGUAUUCUUGGGGUAGGGGUGAAAUCCUAUAAUCCCGAGAGGACCACCAGUGGCGAAGGCUGUCGGCUAGAACGCGCCCGACGGUGAGGGAUGAAAGCUGGGGGAGCGAACCGGAUUAGAUACCCGGGUAGUCC